rnacentral:rRNA from 1 species
UAAUACCGGCGGCUCGAGUGGUGGCCGCUAUUACUGGGCUUAAAGCGUUCGUAGCUGGGCUGUUAAGUCCCCUGGGAAAUCCACCGGCUCAACCGAUGGGCGUUCAGGGGAUACUGGCAGCCUAGGGACCGGGAGAGGUGAGGGGUACUCCAGGGGUAGGAGUGAAAUCCUGUAAUCCUUGGGGGACCACCUGUGGCGAAGGCGUCUCACUAGAACGGCUCCGACAGUGAGGAACGAAAGCUGGGGGAGCAAACCGGAUUAGAUACCCGGGUAGUCCCAGCUGUAAACGAUGCGCGUUAGGUGUAUCGGUGACCACGAGUCACCGAGGUGCCGAAGAGAAAUCGUGAAACGUGCCGCCUGGGAAGUACGGUCGCAAGGCUGAAACUUAAAUGAAUUGACGG